rnacentral:lncRNA from 1 species
AUGUUGUUUAUUCUGCAAUAAGGUUGGGAAGUUGCCGUGGCUGCCGUGUUAUGUUCCUUCUGCAUUUGUCAAGACAAAUUCCUUUAGUGUUCAUAAUCCAGAUGAUCGCUUCGGCUGGUGCUUCUAGCAUUCUCUGGAUUUUCAUAUACUUAUAAUGGACGAACUUGUAUGAAUCAAGCUGCUGAAAUUGUCGCUGAAACCAGGCCACAAUAUCGCUAGGCCGUUCGUAAAAAGCUACUGGGUCGGUGGACGGUCAUGAGCAA